UGGCAGAGAGGUCACACCCGUUCCCAUACCGAACACGGAAGUUAAGCUCUCUAGCGCCGAUGGUAGUUGGGACCUUGUCCCUGUGAGAGUAGGACGUCGCCAAGC
rnacentral:rRNA from 3 species